UACGGGAGGCAGCAGUGGGGAAUAUUGCACAAUGGGCGCAAGCCUGAUGCAGUCAUGCCGCGUGUAUGAAAAAGGCCUUCGGGUUGUAAAGUACUUUCAGUCGUGAGGAAGGUGUUAAGGUUAAUAACCUUAGCAAUUGACGUUAGCGACAGAAGAAGCACCGGCUAACUCCGUGCCAGCAGCCGCGGUAAUACGGAGGGUGCGAGCGUUAAUCGGAAUUACUGGGCGUAAAGGGCACGCAGGCGGUUAAUUAAGUUGGAUGUGAAAUCCCCGGGCUUAACCUGGGAAUGGCAUUCAAGACUGGUUAGCUAGAGUCUUGUAGAGGGGGUAGAAUUCCAUGUGUAGCGGUGAAAUGCGUAGAGAUGUGGAGGAAUACCGGUGGCGAAGGCGGCCCUGGACAAAGACUGACGCUCAUGUGCGAAAGCGUGGGGAGCGAAACAGGGAUUAGAUACC
rnacentral:rRNA from 1 species